AUUGAGCGCUGGCGGCAGGCUUAACACAUGCAAGUCGAGCGGGGUGAUGGUGCUUGCACUAUCACUUAGCGGCGGACGGGUGAGUAAUGCUUAGGAAUCUGCCUAUUAGUGGGGGACAACAUCUCGAAAGGGAUGCUAAUACCGCAUACGUCCUACGGGAGAAAGCAGGGGAUCACUUGUGACCUUGCGCUAAUAGAUGAGCCUAAGUCGGAUUAGCUAGUUGGUGGGGUAAAGGCCUACCAAGGCGACGAUCUGUAGCGGGUCUGAGAGGAUGAUCCGCCACACUGGGACUGAGACACAGCCCAGACUCCUACGGGAGGCAGCAGUGGGGAAUAUUGGACAAUGGGGGGAACCCUGAUCCAGCCAUGCCGCGUGUGUGAAGAAGGCCUUAUGGUUGUAAAGCACUUUAAGCGAGGAGGAGGCUCUUUUGGUUAAUACCCAAGAUGAGUGGACGUUACUCGCAGAAUAAGCACCGGCUAACUCUGUGCCAGCCGCCGCAGUAA
rnacentral:rRNA from 1 species